UGCAAUUAACAUUGGUCUUUUUAGAGUGUC
rnacentral:piRNA from 1 species